rnacentral:rRNA from 1 species
AACCGGGGGGCCUAGUCAUUUUUUACGGUUAAAAGCAGUUAAGAGUGAAAUAAAGCAAAACUAACCUGUAUUAUGGGGUAGAAUCUGAAUACUGGGGUAGACCUUAAUAGCUAUUUUCGAAGCUGCGAAACCCUCGAGGGAAACUGGGAUUAGAUACCCCACUAUUCGAGGGUAUAAAAAAUUUACCAGGGUACUACGAACAAUGUUUAAAACUCAAAGGGCUUGGCGGUGUUUUAGACCCCCCAGGGGAACCUGUCUCGUAAUCGACAGUCCACGUGAUACCUGACCCUAUUUAUUGGUUUGUAUACCGUCGUCGUCGGGCAACUUCCAAAAAAGAAGAAGUUGGCAACACACCGCUUAAGUUUGACGUCAGAUCAAGGUGCAGCUUAUAGUAGGGGGAGGAUGGGUUACAAUUAUAAAUUAUAUUACCGAGGUUAUUUGAAAAAUUCCCGAAAAGGAGGACUUGGAAGUAAGUAAAAAUAUAAAAACAUUCUGAAUACGGCUCUGAAAUGU